UUUCCGUAGGUGAACCUGCGGAAGGAUCAUUAAUAAAUUUUUAAAAUUUAUAAAAAUCCAUUUCACCCUUUGUGAAUUCGUUAAUUUGUAAAAAAUGUCUUUCCAGUGGAGCUAAGUUUUUAGUGAAACUGGUUAGGUAUAAACUUUUUUUAAUAUAACGUUUUGUGUGAUCUGUCUGAAAAAAAUUGUUAAAUUAAAAACAACUUUUGACAAUGGAUCUCUUGGUUCUCGCAACGAUGAAGAACGCAGCGAAUUGCGAUAAGUAAUGUGAAUUGCAGAUUUAGUGAAUCAUCGAAUUUUUGAACGCAUAUUGCACUUUUUGGUAUUCCGAAAAGUAUGCCUGUUUGAGUAUCAGUAAAUAUUCUCAUCACAAAUUUUUUUUGAAUUUGUGUAUGGAUUUGAAUGCUUUUACUUGCUUAAGGUGAAACAUUUGAAAUAAAGUUGUUGAACUUUUAGGAAUAUUUAUAACAAUAAAAUGUGAUAAAAUUUUCCGCAAGGAAUAACCUAUUCAUUUUAAAGUUUAAGUAGGAAUAAAAGGAAUUCUUCAUUGAAGGAAUUUAGACAACUUUUGAUAUUUAUUGAUCAAAAGUUCUAAUCUAAAAAAAUUAAACUUGAUCUCAAAUCAGGUAAGAGUACCCACUGAACUUAAGCAUAUCAAUAAGUGGAGGAAAGAAACUAACAAGGAUUCCCUCAGUAACGGCGAGUGAAGCGGGAAGAGCUCAAAUUUGAAAUCUUGAAAGGUUACCUUCGACGAAUUGUAGUUUAAAGAAGUGUUUCUGCUGAAGUUUGGUAAAAGUUCUUUGGAAUAGGACAUCACAGAGGGUGAGAAUCCCGUAUUUGACCAUUAUUUCAGCUUUGUGAUACACUUUCAAAGAGUCGGAUUGUUUGGGAAUGCAGCCAAAAUGGGUGGUAAAUUUCAUCUAAAGCUAAAUAUUGGCGAGAGACCGAUAGCGAACAAGUACCGUGAGGGAAAGAUGAAAAGAACUUUGAAAAGAGAGUUAAACAGUACGUGAAAUUGUCAAAAGGGAAGCGUUUGACACCAGUGUUGUUUUCUCGAAAAUCAAUUAAAAAUGGCUCGAUUUGUAUUGCUGAGACCUUAAAAGCUCACUGUACAUUUUUGUGUCUUUUUUAAUGCACUUUUCGUUUAACAAGUCAACAUCAGUUUCUUUUGUUGUAAAAGGGUCAUUGGAAGGUGGCUUUCUUUUCGGAGAAAGUGUUUAUAGCCUUUGGCCUCUGCAAUCGAAGAGACUGAGGUCUGCAGCGUAGACUCUUCGGGGUUAGAUACAUUUGUGCUAAGUUAUAGCUUUUAUAGACCACUUGUUGACUAUAAUUAGUCUUGUAGCUUACUCGCUUAUGCUAUUUUACCUACGCUUAGGAUG
rnacentral:misc_RNA from 1 species